UCCCUGGUGGUCCAGUGGCUAGGACUCUGCGCUUCCAGCUCAGGGGGCCUGGGUUCAAUUCCUGUUCAGGGAA
rnacentral:tRNA from 1 species